GACGAACCGUGCGAACGUUGUUCUGCAUCACUGGGCUUAAAGGGCGCUUAGGCGGCAUAGCAAGUCCGGGGUGAAAGCCCCCAGCUCAACUGGGGAAGUGCCUUGGAAACUGCAGUGCUCGAGGGAGGUAGGGGUCGAGGGAACUUCUGGUGGAGCGGUGAAAUGCGUUGAUAUCAGAAGGAACGCCGGUGGCGAAAGCGCUCGACUGGACCUUUUCUGACGCUGAGGCGCGAAAGCUAGGGGAGCAAACAGG
rnacentral:rRNA from 1 species